ACGCUCGACACCUACUGGAGGCAGCAGUGGGGAAUAUUGCACAAUGGGGGAAACCCUGAUGCAGCGACGCCGCGUGGAGGAAGAAGGUCUUCGGAUUGUAAACUCCUGUUGUUGGGGAAAAAGAGGAUGGUACCCAACAAGGGAGUGACGGCUAACUACGUGCCAACAGCCGCGGUAAUCUGAGCGGGCUGGCAAGGC
rnacentral:rRNA from 1 species